rnacentral:rRNA from 1 species
GAGUUUGAUCAUGGCUCAGGAUGAACGCUAGCGGCGUGCUUAACGCAUGCAAGUCGAACGAUAGGCCUUCGGGCUGAAAGUGGCGAACGGGUGAGUAACACGUUGGUGACCUACCUCAGAGAGGGGGACAACCACUGGAAACGGUGGCUAAUACCCCAGAUGUUUAUGUGUUUAGAAGGCAUAAACCAAAGCUCCGGUGCUCUGAGAGGGGCCAGCGUCCCAUCAGCUAGUUGGCGAGGUAAAGGCUCACCAAGGCGAAGACGGGUAGGGGGCGUGAGAGCGUGACCCCCCACACUGGUACUGAUACACGGACCAGAUACCUACGGGUAGCAGCAGCGAGGAAUAUUGCGCAAUGGGCGAAAGCCUGACGCAGCAACGCCGCGUGGAGGAUGAAGGCCUUCGGGUUGUAAACUCCUUUUUUGAGAGAAUAGAAAGGAAGGUAUCUCAAGAAUAAGCUCCGGCUAACUACGUGCCAGCAGCCGCGGUAAUACGUAGGGAGCAAGCGUUAUCCGGAUUUACUGGGCGUAAAGCGCACGCAGGCGGUCUUGUAAGUUGGAUGUGAAAGCCCUCGGCUUAACUGAGGGAUGCCAUUCAAUACUGCGAGGCUGGAGAGUGACAGAGGAGAGUAGAAUUCCCGGUGUAGUAGUGAAUGCUU